rnacentral:rRNA from 1 species
CUAGCAUACGAGGAGGCAAUGGUGGGAUACUACCCUGGCUGUAUGACCAUUCUAACCCGCCACGCUUAGCGCGUGGGGAGACAGUGUCAGGUGGGCAGUUUGACUGGGGCGGUCGCCUCCUAAAGAGUAACGGAGGCGCCCAAAGGUUCCCUCAGAAUGGAUGGAAAUCAUUCGCAGAGUGUAAAGGCACAAGGGAGCUUGACUGCGAGACUGACAAGUCGAGCAGGGACGAAAGUCGGGCUUAGUGAUCCGGUGGUUCCGCAUGGAAGGGCCAUCGCUCAACGGAUAAAAGCUACCCCGGGGAUAA